ensembl:lncRNA LOC108352292 uncharacterized LOC108352292
UGAACACAAACCAGAACACACUAAACUUUUCCCGAGGCAGAGUCCAGUCGACGACUUUAUGACAAUCUUCCUGGAUGGAGUUUGCCUAAUACCUUCCAGUUGGUCAUGAGACAGUCAGGGGACUGAAAAUGUGUCACUUGAUUAAGUUUUUCAGGCUGAUAACAAGAAGGCUACUGUGUUAUGACAAAUUUGCUACCUUCUAUAACCGAGCAACGUGUUGAAUCUUGGGGAAUACUACAAAAUAUGGAUCAACAUGGGCCCUUCUCCACUUGACGCACACUAAGCCACUGCUGUGAACUUUGAGUUUGAUCUCAGCUCUCUCAAAAGUCACUAAUCAUUCCUUCAACAAAAAACACAACAAGCACUCGGACAUCACACUGCACAGAUGUAAUUUGGAAUAGGAGGAGGUCAUACU